GGGCGCCAUUUAUAAAGACAUCUGAAAAUUUUGUGAAAGAGGGAAUGGCCUCUCGUGGAGGACUGCUGAAUUUACUAAACUAGUUGACAGAAAGGUAUUUCAGCCGUAAAGCCAUGGAGGUUGGAAAAGAAUGAAAUAAGUGAUGUAGGCCCGUGCAUGGAGGCCCAUGGAGGAUAUCCCCAAGCACCCCGCGCUCAAAAUUUUGAGAAAGAAAAAUCUGAUUGCUUUGCGGAAUUUUCGGUCAUGACAUGGCACUCUGUGUGGUAGAGAGCAGGGUCCGUUGCAUGGCAAGUCUCCUCUAAUCUGUUGGCCUGGUGAAACCAUGCUUCAGAGGUGUCCAGUAGGCUCUUCUCAGCAGUUGCUCAGACAUAUGGAAAGCUGCAUGCUGGAAGUCUCCCUCAACUUUCGCAUCCUGCUACCUGAAGGAGGUUCUGCAAAAUGACUCUGUACAGGCAGGACGGUCUUACUGCCCACAGUACAAGCUCCUGCAGUAAGGGCGGAUAGCAACGCAUCGAAAGAAUCCUGUAAGGCAACGGUAACAUCAAUACCAGCUUUAUCACAAUAAGAAUCAUCCGACACAACCUCCAAGCAUCGUGCAAGUUGUCCUUCCGGGUUCUUCGAGUUCCUUAACCAUACCAAAGAAGAAUGGUCCAUCCACACUUUGACCUUUUGACCAUAAAGGCCAGCCACUGCCCUCAACUGUGGCCUGAGCAGCAAACGUGAUGGAUGUGUACAUGUAUAUUGGUGUCUUUUUAAAGGAAGACUGUGUUGGAAUUCAGUGGAAUGGUUCACAAGUACCGGUAUUAUUUGGGGCGGCUGUGUGGACCUACUCAUAUAACUACAAAGAUGUUUUUCAAGACACCCUUUCUACAAACCUUGUUGGAUACUGCUGAGGUACAUGUAAAUGUACAGUCGAACCUCGUUAAUAAGAACCCUGUUAAUACAAGAUUCUGUUGAUAACGGAAAUUUUGAGGUCCCAGUCUUUUGUUUUUGAUUGUUUCCUUUCCUGCUAAUGCAAGGUCCCUGUUAUAACAAGGUAAUUUGCCAAGUCUGAAUGGCCUCUUAUUAACGAGUUUCGACUGUACUUGGAGCUGGAUUGCAUGUACAUGCACCUGUACCUUGAUGAAAGUGGGCUGCACCAACUCAAGGAGAACUGGCAAGGCGUGUUGCUCUCCCUGAUACAGUAUUUCCAUCGGACCAUUGUUAAGCUGGAUAUUGCUCAAUUUAACGCUGUCUUCCCAUCGGAUCACUUACAUGUACAUGUACCUCUGGGUUGGGAGUCAUGUUGCUGAGCCCAACAGGGUUAUUCUGUAAAUUUGGGACCCAAAACUUUGAUAUUUUUCUGUGUCCCUGUUAUGUCUGACCUUUGUCAUUUGAAAU